rnacentral:rRNA from 1 species
UGGGGAAUAUUGGACAAUGGGCGCAAGCCUGAUCCAGCCAUGCCGCGUGAGUGAUGAAGGCCCUAGGGUUGUAAAGCUCUUUCACCGGUGAAGAUAAUGACGGUAACCGGAGAAGAAGCCCCGGCUAACUUCGUGCCAGCAGCCGCGGUAAUACGAAGGGGGCUAGCGUUGUUCGGAUCUACUGGGCGUAAAGCGCACGUAGGCGGACUUUUAAGUCAGGGGUGAAAUCCCGGGGCUCAACCCCGGAACUGCCUUUGAUACUGGAAGUCUUGAGUAUGGUAGAGGUGAGUGGAAUUCCGAGUGUAGAGGUGAAAUUCGUAGAUAUUCGGAGGAACACCAGUGGCGAAGGCGGCUCACUGGACCAUUACUGACGCUGAGGUGCGAAAGCGUGAGGAGCAAACAGGAUUAGAUACCCUGGUAGUCCACGCCGUAAACGAUGAAUGUUAGCCGUUGGGGAGUUUACUCUUCGGUGGCGCAGCUAACGCAUUAAACAUUCCGCCUGGGGAGUACGGUCGCAAGAUU